AGCUUUCCACUUACGAUUGAACCAGCCAACAUAUACUGUGUCCUAUGGGCCUUCCAAGGGUCAAGGACACAGGAAAGAACAAGACACAGUCUCGAUCCCUGACAAGUUCACAGGUUGUGAGAAAGGGAUGAAAUCGUGGAGGUGAAAGUGCUUUGCGCACGGGCACAGUGGAAAACAAUCCAGUCUGGUGAGGCCAGUCUUAAAACCAGAGGGAGUGGGAACGACCGUGACCAGACGAAUGUGUGCGUGCUCGCCGACACGGAGCAUCACACCCCCUUUCCACCAGAACCCGGCUCUUCUGAACCACUUCUCAUCUCAGAAUCACUGCUGUGUUUUCCCUGACAAUAUCAUCCUUCGUGCCAAGAGCAUUGGU